UGAAACUAACUUCCGAAAGAUUGUUGUGAGAGACGAAAGGAGCAAGUGGAGUUGAAACCAUAAUGAGCACUUUGGUUCUACUGACCUUGAUACUUCUCACCCUCUUAUGCAUAUAUCUCUGGAAUAGAAGGCAUCUGUAUGCAGCUGCUGCUCAUUUCUGUGGACCCUUCGCCCUUCCCUUCAUAGGAAAUGGUUUUACGCUAAUGUGCGACCUAGAAGAUUUUUUUGACAAACUAAAUGGUAUUUUGAAGCAGUAUGAAGGAUGCAAUGAUCCUUUACGACUAUGGUUCGGGCCACAUUUAGUGAUAGCCCUGAGAGAUCCAGUACACCUUGAG